AGAGCGAACGCUGGCGGCAGGCUUAACACAUGCAAGUCGAGCGGGCGUAGCAAUACGUCAGCGGCAGACGGGUGAGUAACGCGUGGGAACGUACCUUUUGGUUCGGAACAACACAGGGAAACUUGUGCUAAUACCGGAUAAGCCCUUACGGGGAAAGAUUUAUCGCCGAAAAGAUCGGCCCGCGUCUGAUUAGCUAGUUGGUGAGGUAACGGCUCACCAAGGCGACGAUCAGUAGCUGGUCUGAGAGGAUGAUCAGCCACAUUGGGACUGAGACACGGCCCAAACUCCUACGGGAGGCAGCAGUGGGGAAUAUUGGACAAUGGGCGAAAGCCUGAUCCAGCCAUGCCGCGUGAGUGAUGAAGGCCCUAGGGUUGUAAAGCUCUUUUGUGCGGGAAGAUAAUGACGGUACCGCAAGAAUAAGCCCGGACUAACUUCGCGCCAGCAGCCGC
rnacentral:rRNA from 1 species